rnacentral:lncRNA from 1 species
GCCAGAUACAGCAAAAGGGUUAUUAUGCUAGGGAUUAUACUGACCAUUAGUUCUGAUUACUGGGGAGGUUUUGAAGCGCAAAGUGGCCAUGAUGAUUGGAAUCGCUUUCAGAGUUUCUUGGCUUUGUUGCCUGCUAAUUGGAGGGAUAACCUGUUCUACAUCAAGGAAAUGUAACGGAGUCAUCCUCUAGAAGCUCUACUGGUGAGAAUUGUUUUUGACAUUGGUUACUUAACAUUCUGUGUUGCUGACACUGUUUGCAUUUCUUUCUGCUUUUGUUUCGACCAGGAAGUUGCUGGUGCUCAAGCGUGAUGGAAUCAAUAAACAAUUUUAUUUUCAAAA